AUAGUACUCCCUCCUUCCCAAAAUUCUUGUCUUAGAUUUGUCUAGAUACAGAUGUAUCAAUUCUUGUCUUAGAUUUGUCUAGAUACGGAUCUAGACAAAUCUAAGACAAGAAUUUUGAAAGAGGAAGUACAUA
rnacentral:pre_miRNA from 1 species